rnacentral:rRNA from 1 species
UACGAAGGGGGCUAGCGUUGUUCGGAUUUACUGGGCGUAAAGCGCACGUAGGCGGAUCGAUCAGUCAGGGGUGAAAUCCCAGAGCUCAACUCUGGAACUGCCUUUGAUACUGUCGAUCUGGAGUAUGGAAGAAGGUGAGUGGAAUUCCGAGUGUAGAGGUGAAAUUCGUAGAUAUUCGGGAGGAACACCAGUGGCGAAGGCGGCUCACUGGUCCAUUACUGACGCUGAGGUGCGAAAAGCGUGGGGAGCAAACAGG